AAUUAUCAAAAUAAAUCUUUCGUUCACUCGAUCGAUUUUAUUUUGGACUUGGGGGUCUGCAGAUUCACGUCUGCUCCCCUUGAAUUCAUUAGCUGGAUCACUGUAGACUCGGUUCCACUCGGCGUGAUAAGUAUCACUCGCUGAGGACACCCGUAAAAAAGGUGGCCGGGAUUACUAGAGAACCGCUUCUAAUAGUCCAUUAGCUUGGACAAUCACACUUAUG
rnacentral:misc_RNA from 1 species